rnacentral:rRNA from 1 species
GACAGAGGGUGCAAACGUUGUUCGGAAUUACUGGGCGUAAAGCGUGUGUAGGCGGCAGUGCAAGUCGGAUGUGAAAUCCCCGGGCUCAACCCGGGAAGGGCACCCGAAACUGCACCGCUAGAGUACCGGAGAGGUUGGUGGAAUUCUCGGUGUAGAGGUGAAAUUCGUAGAUAUCGAGAGGAACACCUGUGGCGAAGGCGGCCAACUGGACGAGUACUGACGCUGAGACACGAAAGCGUGGGGAGCAAACAGG